AUCCUGAGUUUUAUUUUGACAAGUUUGACGCUGGUCCCGUUAUCUUACAGUUAGUAACUGUCCGUGUGGUGUUUGAGUCUGAAACAUCGUCCAGGGAUGAGGCUAAAGGGAAAAGAAGUAACGUUAGACGUUCAUCAGAAAAGUUUUAUGAACUUCACCUGCAGGACUUGGAAAAUGUUUUUGCUGCCGAAAUGGUGGAUUUUAAUCGUUUGUCUGACAGAUGUCCUCCUUCCCCGUUGCUCGGGGGUUCAUGUGUUUGUGAGAGAUGAGAAGAGGUAUGCUGUGCUGUUCCAGUCGGUGGUUCUGCCGUGUCAGUACAACAGCGUGUCCACCCAGGUCCCCGUGGUGCAAUGGGUCUACAAGUCGUACUGUCAGGACCGCACGCGGGAUUCGUUCAACUUCCCAGACAGCAUGAGUGGAGGCCAGGGAGGAGGUGGGCUAACGGGUGGAACCAGAGGAGCCGGUGGAGGGUACGAGACGGGGAUGACAGUGAGCUACCUUGACUGCUCUGACAGCAGCCGGACGGUCCGAACUGUGGCCUCCAUGUCUGGUUCCUCAAUCACACUGUCAGAGUACUACAAGAACAGAGACAUCUCCAUCAUCAACAAGGCAGACCUGCGCAUAGGAGAGGUCCAAUGGGGAGACAGUGGCGUUUACAUCUGUAAAGUGGUUAUAUCUGAUGAUUUAGAGGGACAGAACGAAGCCUCUGUGGAGCUGCUGGUUCUUGGUUUCUCAGGUGUGCCUGAAGAUCUCCUGCCAGACUUUGAUAUGAAGAUUAUGCCAGAGUGGGUGUUUGUGUCGGCGGUGGCACUGGGCAGUGUCUUAUUCCUGCUGUUGGUCGGGAUUUGUUGGUGUCAGUGUUGUCCUCAUUCCUGCUGCUGCUACAUCAGCUGCUGGUGCUGUCCCGACACAUGCUGCUGCCCAAGACACCUUUAUGAGGCAGGUAAGGGUAUAAAGACGGGCACCUCCACGCCUCAGACACCUGCCUACCCUCCAUACUUUGUCACUGGUGUUCCGACGAUGGUUCCCAUCGCACCCCCAUCUCUGGUGGACAAGAUGUCUUCCCUCCCCCCUUCAGAUGGCAGCAUACUCACAGCAGUGCCAAUGCAUGCUGUAGGGGUUCCCUACCGCGUUCCUUCACCUCAGGAUCAGGACUCUCUCAGGGUGCUACAGUAUGUAGAGAAACAGCUGGCUCACUUCAACCCUGCCAGGUCAAUCAGCCACCAGUCCUGUAGCCUGUCCGAGCUGAGCUCCCUCCACGAGGGAGAAACCAGCUUCCGCCAAACAUACCGAAAUGUCCAGAGGAAAGCUCUGCCCGCCAUCCCUGACCAUGACCCUCAGCCUGAGCCCCAACGCUACCGUGACAACCGCAGCCCAGAGCCGCAGCGUUACCGUGACAAUCCCCCUUCACCCCAUCGAUAUCACGAUGACCGCGACUCAGAGCCUCGCCGCUGCCAGGAUGAGCCCCUUCCUCCGCGGCGGUACAGCGAUGACCCUCCGUCCUCGUCCCAGUUGCGCAGGCCCGGCCGAAAUCAUCGGCAACAGAAUCACAGCGAAGAGGACGACCACAAAAGGUGGAACCCUCGUUCAGAACAUCUGCGGAGAAAGACGUACCGUACUGCCGGACGAACCGGCUCACUAGACGAGCUGGAGGAGUUUGCUGCUUCUUACAAGCAGAGAGGAGACAGAGGGGAAGAGAAAAGGGAUGAGGACAGGGGAGACUAUGAGAUGGAGCGUCUGGAGUUCAGUCGGUAUCCUUCAUACCGUAAUGGUCCACCUCAGCAUUAUCACAAUGAUGAAAAUGAGCUUGGCGACAACAGCGACCGUGAGGAUCGUCUCAGAAGAAACAAGAAUAACGGACAUUACAUAAGCCCCCUUCAGUCACCCGAAAAGAGAAGGGGCACUUGGGACAGUGAGCGACCUGCCCCACCUCCUCCCAGAGUCAGUCCACCAUCGACUUCUUCUCAAGAGAAGGACUACGAUGGCACGUUCCUGACCAGCCUGCUGGAGCGUAAGGCCAAGUUACGAGGGGUCAGCCAGGGGAAGAGUGGGGCCUGGGGGGAGGGGGAUUCAGACACAACCUCUAAGGGCAGCUCGAAAAAGAGCAGCGGGGAAUCGAGUCGGCACUGCAGCCGAUCGCCCAGUAACAGGCCUGAGGCAGAUUCGCUUCCUCCUUACUCAGACACAGAGCGAAGCAGAACGGACAGGCCAUCUCCGCGGCCGCUCCCAGCAAACACUUGCUCCUCUCAACCUCCUGCCCAUUCCCUGCCCGGUCGCACAGAGGAGCCCAGAGACAAGACCCGGAAAGUGAGCACUCUUCUCAGCCGGGACUCCCUCAUCGUCUGAUGGACUUAAAGCCACGCAGACUGACUCUCUCUAAUCAAAAAUAUGCAACUGACCGUGAAGGAAAGCUGAAUCAGCACAGAAAUGGACAACAGACACACUUUUUCUAUCGAGACUGUCACUAGGGUUCCUGCCUGUUACGAUGAUGUUCAAUGAAUGAUGAAGUCAUUACUGUUCAAGUCAUCAGCAGG